UACGUAGGGUGCAAGCGUUGUCCGGAAUUAUUGGGCGUAAAGAGCUCGUAGGCGGUCUGUCGCGUCUGCUGUGAAAACUCGGGGCUUAACCCCGGGCCUGCAGUGGGUACGGGCAGACUAGAGUGCGGUAGGGGAGACUGGAAUUCCUGGUGUAGCGGUGAAAUGCGCAGAUAUCAGGAGGAACACCGGUGGCGAAGGCAGGUCUCUGGGCCGUAACUGACGCUGAGGAGCGAAAGCGUGGGGAGCGAACAGG
rnacentral:rRNA from 1 species